AGUGAACGCUGGCGGUAGGCCUAACACAUGCAAGUCGAACGGCAGCACAGUAAGAGUUUGCUCUUCCGGGUGGCGAGUGGCGGACGGGUGAGGAGUACAACGGAAUCUACUUUUUCGGGGGGGAUCACGUAGGGAAACUUACGCUAAUAUCGCAUAUGCUCCUCGGGUGAAAGCAGGGGAUCUUCGCAGCUUGCGCGGUUGAAUGAGCCGCUGAGGGUUUAGCUAGUUGGCGGGCUAAUGGCCCACCAUGUCGGCGAUUGGUAGCCCGACUGAGUGAAUGGUCGGCCACACUGGAGCUGAGACACCGUCCAGACUCCUACGGGAGGCAGCAGUGGGGAAUAGUGGACAAUGGUCGCAAGCCUGAUCCAGCCAGCCCGCGUGGGUGAAGAAAACCUUCGGGUUGUAAAGCCGGUUUGUGGGGAAAGAAAAGCUGCAGGUUAAGACGCCGCGGUUCUGACGGUACCCAAUGAAGAAGCACCGGCUAACUACGUG
rnacentral:rRNA from 1 species